AGAGUUUGAUCCUGGCUCAGGAUGAACGCUGGCGGCGUGCUUAACACAUGCAAGUCGAGCGAUGAAGUUUCCUUCGGGAAACGGAUUAGCGGCGGACGGGUGAGUAACACGUGGGUAACCUGCCUCAUAGAGUGGAAUAGCCUUCCGAAAGGAAGAUUAAUACCGCAUAACGUUGAAAGAUGGCAUCAUCAUUCAACCAAAGGAGCAAUCCGCUAUGAGAUGGACCCGCGGCGCAUUAGCUAGUUGGUGGGGUAACGGCCUACCAAGGCGACGAUGCGUAGCCGACCUGAGAGGGUGAUCGGCCACAUUGGGACUGAGACACGGCCCAGACUCCUACGGGAGGCAGCAGUGGGGAAUAUUGCACAAUGGGGGAAACCCUGAUGCAGCAACGCCGCGUGAGUGAUGAAGGUUUUCGGAUCGUAAAGCUCUGUCUUUGGGGAAGAUAAUGACGGUACCCAAGGAGGAAGCCACGGCUAACUACGUGCCAGCAGCCGCGGUAAUACGUAGGUGGCGAGCGUUAUCCGGAUUUACUGGGCGUAAAGGGAGCGUAGGCGGAUGAUUAAGUGGGAUGUGAAAUACCCGGGCUCAACUUGGGUGCUGCAUUCCAAACUGGUUAUCUAGAGUGCAGGAGAGGAGAGUGGAAUUCCUAGUGUAGCGGUGAAAUGCGUAGAGAUUAGGAAGAACACCAGUGGCAAAGGCGACUCUCUGGACUGUAACUGACGCUGAGGCUCGAAAGCGUGGGGAGCAAACAGGAUUAGAUACCCUGGUAGUCCACGCCGUAAACAAUGAAUACUAGGUGUGGGGGUUUCAACACCUCCGUGCCGCCGCUAACGCAUUAAGUAUUCCGCCUGGGGAGUACGGUCGCAAGAUUAAAACUCAAAGGAAUUGACGGGGACCCGCACAAGUAGCGGAGCAUGUGGUUUAAUUCGAAGCAACGCGAAGAACCUUACCUACACUUGACAUCCCUUGCAUUACUCUUAAUCGAGGAAAUCCCUUCGGGGACAAGGUGACAGGUGGUGCAUGGUUGUCGUCAGCUCGUGUCGUGAGAUGUUGGGUUAAGUCCCGCAACGAGCGCAACCCUUGUCGUUAGUUACUACCAUUAAGUUGAGGACUCUAGCGAGACUGCCUGGGUUAACCAGGAGGAAGGUGGGGAUGACGUCAAAUCAUCAUGCCCCUUAUGUGUAGGGCUACACACGUGCUACAAUGGCUGGUACAGAGAGAUGCAAUACCGCGAGGUGGAGCCAAACUUAAAAACCAGUCUCAGUUCGGAUUGUAGGCUGAAACUCGCCUACAUGAAGCUGGAGUUACUAGUAAUCGCGAAUCAGAAUGUCGCGGUGAAUACGUUCCCGGGUCUUGCACUCACCGCCCGUCA
rnacentral:rRNA from 1 species